AGGAUCAACGCUGGCGGCGUGCCUAAUGCAUGUAAGUCGAACGGGUGCUCCUUCGGGAGCAUCACGUGGCGGACGGGCGAGGAACACGUGGGUAACCUGCCCUGGGGCGGGGGUAGCCCUCGGAACGAGGGUAAUUCCGCGUACGCUCACCUUUCGAGUGGGAGAGGUGAGGAAAGGCGAAAGCCACCCCAGGAGGGGCCUGCGACCGAUUAGCUUGAUGGUGGGGUAACGGCCUACCAUGGCGGUGAUCGGUAGCUGGUCUGAGAGGACGGCCAGCCGCACGGGGACUGAGACACGGCCCCGACUCCUACGGGAGGCAGCAGCAAGGAAUUUUCCACAAUGGGCGAAAGCCUGAUGGAGCAACGCCGCGUGGGGGAUGAAGCCCUUCGGGGUGUAAACCUCUUUUCUCGGGGACGACAACCGACGGUACCCGAGGAAUAAGGCCCGGCUAACUACGUGCCAGCAGCCGC
rnacentral:rRNA from 1 species